rnacentral:rRNA from 1 species
UAGGGAAUCUUCGGCAAUGGACGAAAGUCUGACCGAGCAACGCCGCGUGAGUGAAGAAGGUUUUCGGAUCGUAAAACUCUGUUGUUAGAGAAGAACAAGGACGUUAGUAACUGAACGUCCCCUGACGGUAUCUAACCAGAAAGCCACGGCUAACUACGUGCCAGCAGCCGCGGUAAUACGUAGGUGGCAAGCGUUGUCCGGAUUUAUUGGGCGUAAAGCGAGCGCAGGCGGUUUCUUAAGUCUGAUGUGAAAGCCGCCGGCUCAACCGGGGAGGGUCAUUGGAAACUGGGAGACAUGAGUGAAGAAGAGGAGAGUGGAAUUCCAGGUGUGGCGGUGAAAUGCGUAGAUAUAUGGAGGAACACCAGUGGAGAAGGCGGCUCUCUGGUCUGUAACUGACGCUGAGGCACGAAAGGGUGGGGAGCAAACAGG